CGUAACGUGUAUAUGAUUAAAAGUUUUUACAAAUACAACACUUAUCAUACGAAGUAAUAUAUUAUUCAAUUAACACAGUUGAGCAGUGUUAAUAUACUUUCUUUGAAUUUUGCGAGCCUAAUACAGAAAAUAACAUUCGAAUAUCUGGUAUGUUUACACAAAUUGGGGCAUUCUAGUUGAAUUUACGUUUUGCACAAGAUCGUUAGUGGAUGAACGUUCGAAGGAAGUGUAGGAACCGCCCAAGUUGCAUCGUUCGUGUUAGACAGUCCUUGACCGGGAUGAUCUGUAGAAAAAUGUAAGAUAAUGAAAGAUCCAAUAGAACACUUUCACCUGGAUUCAUCCCAGCCCUCUUCUUUUACCGCAAUUCUUACGUAUCAGUCAGAGGCAUGGUGCAAUUGAAGUUCAACUAGCAUGCUUUCCCGCACUAUUAAGAUAACUCUCUCUUUCUCUUACUUUCGUUGCACGUCUUUAGUUAAUAUUUUUCUCGUUUUAAACACUGGCAAAGUUUUAUGAGACAGAGAGACAGAGAGACAGAGAGAGAGAGAGAGAGAGGAGGGGAUUGUUAGCAUAUGUACUUGAAAAUCUCUUUGGGAAGUAAAAGUUGAGUUGUAUAAUACAGACAUUGGACGCAUUCUCGAAUCAUCUCGAUUUUAAUAAAUUCCUAAAUACAACAUAAACGAGGAGCAAGUUAUCACUUCGAAAAGAUCACUUGUUUCUCCAGGUUACACGACACCUGCAUUUUGGUAUGCCCUAGGCGUGAAGCAUUAUGACGAUGGUCGUAUAACUUCUAUGGACAUUACAUAAACUUAAGCGUUGGGAAAUAUCUUUAAAUAAAGGGGAAAAAUACAAAAGGACAUGGAAUAGAGUGAGAGAAGAUAAAAAAGAUUUAUUCAUCUAUCGUAUAGUGACUGUUAUAUAGUUUUGAAUCUUGGUAUC